CAGAUUUUACUUCUCUGACAGGAUCAAUGGGAGACCUGCUGGACCUCCACCCAGCUGUGUGUCCUUACAGAGUGACGCGUCUAAAGGUGCCAUCGUUAAUUUUAAAGUCCAGCCUGUGUCUGCAGCAGAGAGAGGUCAGAGGUCACAGUCUGCAGGGUCCAGCUGUCCGUCUGUGAGGAGUGACCGGUCCAAAGGUUAUAAUCCAGACUUCAGUGGUGAACCUGGACCAACGAGAGUGGACCAGCAGAGCUCAGAGGUUCCCAGUGGUCAGUCUGCCCAGCAGCAUCAAACACA